rnacentral:rRNA from 1 species
AACGAACGCUGGCGGCAUGCCUAACACAUGCAAGUCGAACGAACCCUUCGGGGUUAGUGGCGCACGGGUGCGUAACGCGUGGGAAUCUGCCCAAAGGUUCGGAAUAACACAGAGAAAUUUGUGCUAAUACCGGAUAAUGUCUUCGGACCAAAGAUUUAUUGCCUUUGGAUGAGCCCGCGUUGGAUUAGCUUGUUGGUGAGGUAACGGCUCACCAAGGCGACGAUCUAUAGCUGGUCUGAGAGGAUGAUCAGCCACACUGGGACUGAGACACGGCCCAGACUCCUACGGGAGGCAGCAGUGGGGAAUAUUGGACAAUGGGCGAAAGCCUGAUCCAGCAAUGCCGCGUGAGUGAUGAAGGCCUUAGGGUUGUAAAGCUCUUUUACCAGGGAUGAUAAUGACAGUACCUGGAGAAUAAGCUCCGGCUAACUCCGUG